GGACUGUUCGAAAUUACUUCACUGAGAAAAGUGGCUUGUGACGUGUUCUUCACACUUACCCCCAUCGCAGCAUCCCCAUGGUCACGAGAUCAACGUUCAGAUGCUUGGCAAC